rnacentral:lncRNA from 1 species
UGUUGUUGUAUUUUGUUGAGGUACAUAGUUGUAUUUUGUUGAGGUGUGUUUUUUUUUAGAUUUUUGUUGAUGUUUUUGUUGAGGUAUGUUGAUAAAUGUUGUUUUUUGUGUUAUUGUAUUAUGUGUUUGAAUAUGUAUGUUGUUUGAGGUAUGUAUGUUGUUGUAUUUUAUUGAGGUAUGUUGUUUGUUUUAUUUUAGAUAUUUUUGUUGAAGUAUGUUAAUGUUUUGUUGAGGUAUGUUGA